rnacentral:rRNA from 1 species
CAGUCGAGAAUCUUCGUCAAUGGGCGAAAGCCUGAACGAGCGACGCCGCGUGCGGGAUGAAGGCCCUUGGGUUGUAAACCGCUGUCGAGGGGGAUGAAGGCCUCAAGGUACUCCUUGAGGUUUGACAGAGCCCUGGAGGAAGCACGGGCUAAGUUCGUGCCAGCAGCCGCGGUAAUACGAACUGUGCGAACGUUAUUCGGAAUCACUGGGCUUACAGGGUGCGUAGGCGGCUACUCAAGUCAGGUGUGAAAGCCCCCGGCUCAACCGGGGAACUGCGCUUGAAACUGGGUGGCUCGAGUCAGCUAGAGGUACACGGAACUUCCAGUGGAGCGGUGAAAUGUGUUGAUAUUGGAAGGAACACCGGAGGCGAAAGCGGUGUACUGGGGCUGGUCUGACGCUGAGGCACGAAAGCCAGGGGAGCGAACGGGAUUAGAUACCCCGGUAGUCCUGGCCGUAAACGAUGAGUGCUGGACGGGAGGGGGUUCGCCCUUUCCGGUCGGAGCGAAAGCGGGAAGCACUCCGCCUGGGGAGUAUGGUCGCAAGGCNGAAACUCAAAGGAAUGACGGGGGC